UAGUGAAUCAUCCGGGCAUUUGC
rnacentral:misc_RNA from 1 species